rnacentral:lncRNA from 1 species
AUGCCACAGAAGCAAACAGCUUCCUCCAAGGGGCGAGAGUCUAACGCUCUGAUGGAACAAACCUGGCCUGGCAACAUCACCUUUCCUGGACUCCAUUUUAUCAUUGCUGAGUUGGAUAGAGGGAGCAAUGGUCAGAGCCCUCACUGACCACUGUGAGUGAACCCCAGACCAUUAGCCCUGGGUCUCAAAGGUGUUUAAGGCAGGAAAACUGGGAGGAAUUGAGGGACUACAAACAACCAGCCAAAGAGGGCAUUGCUCACCUCUAAGGUGAGUACUGUUACUACCUCCAUUUGACUAAUGAAGAAACAGACUUAAAGAGGUUAAGUACCUGGUAAGUGAAC